AGGGAAUCUUCCGCAAUGGGCGAAAGCCUGACGGAGCAACGCCGCGUGAGUGAAGAAGGAUUUCGGUUCGUAAAACUCUGUUGUUAGGGAAGAAUGAUUGUGUAGUAACUAUACACAGUAGAGACGGUACCUAACCAGAAAGCCACGGCUAACUACGUGCCAGCAGCCGCGGUAAUACGUAGGUGGCAAGCGUUGUCCGGAAUUAUUGGGCGUAAAGCGCGCGCAGGUGGUUUAAUAAGUCUGAUGUGAAAGCCCACGGCUCAACCGUGGAGGGUCAUUGGAAACUGUUAAACUUGAGUGCAGGAGAGAAAAGUGGAAUUCCUAGUGUAGCGGUGAAAUGCGUAGAGAUUAGGAGGAACACCAGUGGCGAAGGCGGCUUUUUGGCCUGUAACUGACACUGAGGCGCGAAAGCGUGGGGAGCAAACAGGAUUAGAUACCCUGGUAGUCCACGCCGUAAACGAUGAGUGCUAGGUGUUAGACCCUUUCCGGGGUUUAGUGCCGCAGCUAACGCAUUAAGCACUCCGCCUGGGGAGUACGACCGCAAGGUUG
rnacentral:rRNA from 1 species